rnacentral:rRNA from 1 species
GAUGAACGCUAGCGGGAGGCUUAACACAUGCAAGUCGAGGGGUAAAUGGUAGCAAUACUAUGAGACCGGCGGACGGGUGCGUAACGCGUAUGCAACAUACCUUGUGCAGGGGGAUAGCCCGUGGAAACGCGGAUUAAUAUUCCAUAGUCCAGCUAUAUCGCAUGGUAUAGUUGGUAAAGAUUUAUCGGCACAAGUUUGGCAUGCGUCUGAUUAGCUUGUUGGUAGGGUAACGGCCUACCAAGGCUACGAUCAGUAGGGGUUCUGAGAGGAUUAACCCCCACACUGGUACUGAGACACGGACCAGACUCCUACGGGAGCAGCAGUGAGGAAUAUUGGUCAAUGGGCGGAAGCCUGAACCAGCCAUCCCGCGUGAAGGAAGACAGCCUUACGGGUUGUAAACUUCUUUUCUGUCAGAAGAAUAAGCUUGUCGAGACGAGUGAUGCCGGUAUGACAGGAAUAAGCAUCGGCUAACUCCGUGCCAGCAGCCGCGGUAAA